GAUGAAGAACGUAGCGAAAUGCGAUAAGUAAUGUGAAUUGCAGAAUUCAGUGAAUCAUCGAAUCUUUGAACGCACCUUGCACCCUUUGGUAUUCCGAAGGGUAUGCUCGUUUGAGUGUCAUUGUACUCUCACACUUCUAAUUCCUUUCGGGAUUGGGAGCGGUGGACUUGGGUGUUGCUGCUUUAGUUGCGGCUCACCUCAAAUAAGUUAGUGCAACUCUUGGUUGGACAUAGUACGGCGUGAUAAGUGUCUUCGCCGGCGCCUCUGUAAGGAGGGUGGCCGAUCGGGAGCUCUGUGCUUCAAACCGUCUUCGGACAAUCUUUGACAACUUGACCUCAAAUCGAGUAGGACUACCCGCUGAACUUAAGCAUAUCAAUAAGCGGAGGA
rnacentral:misc_RNA from 1 species